CCAAACCAUGUGACGGAUAUGACGACAUAUAUUCCUAGUAGCCCGCACCAAUGCGGAGCAGAGAAGGUGUGGGACGCUGAAGAAUAUGCGGUAGUGACCAGUGCUACCACUACAGGUUAGAUCAUUGUUUAGGGCAGUCUCGAGCGUAUGAUCAUUCGAUCACUCUUUAAUCGUCAUUACAAAGAAGUUGGGAUGGAAAAGUCAUAGGAUAAUGCUGUAAUUCUUCCAAUGAGAACAUCUACAGAACCUAAAAAAUGUUGAUAAGGUGUCAAGGAAAACCCAUGAAGAUCAGAAACCUCUGCCAAGAAUUUUACAGACGAGGAUAAAGGCUCUUCUAGACUUUCCAUGGGGCAGAAAGGGAGGUUGACUAUGUGAACCAUUCUCUUCAGUGUUUCAUCCUAAACACUAGCACCAUAGUUUUGCUAUGAUGUGCAGUGCACAAUUGGAAAAAACAGGGUGAACAGGCCUCAAAAUGUCACCAGACAAAUUAGGAAUUCACUGAACCUGCCUCAGAAAUAGGCCUUAUUCCGGGCAGUGUGUACCCUAACUAAAAAGGCAGCCUUCAAACCUUUAGAGGCACAAAGUGAGACUCAGGCUUUAAAAAUUCAAAAGCACUUUAAAUAUUCAAAAAUGCUUUUCAAGGCAGAAAGUGACUGGAAACCCCAGUCUCAAGAAGGCAAAAUCAAUACAACAGGCCUAAAUGUAAAGAAUUUAUUAAAUAACAAAAGAGGCACAAAAAUGGAACAACAAGGUAGAAAAAGCAAGCCUAUCCGAAGGCUAUCCAAAGCCACAAUCCAAAAACAAGAAUAAAAACAAAGUCCCUCAACCAGAAAAAAUUGAAAACAAUACAGGUUGACCUCCUGAACGCCUUGGACAUAGGAUUUUCAGGGAGGCAUUUUGCCCUGGAAGUUCUAAGGGGUUGAGAAGGGACACCUUUAUGCCCGGUGGAACACUAAGGGCAUUAGGCAAAUCCCAGCACACCUAGGUUGACCUCCUGCAGGGGCUGAAAGACUUGACAUUAGAAUUUUCCGGGGGGCAUUUUGCCAUUUAGUCUUAUAGUAGCUGAGAGGGGAUCAUUUAUGCCUUGAGCAGAACUGAGGGCCCAAUCAAUAAUGCUCUAAGGGACCUUUAUUCAUUCUUAGCCUGAAUAUAAAGGCUGACGGCAGUUCCUCAGCAAUAACAUAAUGGUGGUCCUGCCUCGUGGGGCUUAACCUAUAAAAACUUAAUAUAUGUAAUGAUGAACACAUAUACACAAUACAAAAACACUAAGUAGCAUUUAAAAUAAAUAGUUUUUGAGAAAAAUGUUUUCCCUCCAUUUUGCUUCCUAAGUUACAGUAAAAACCUUUACAAAAAUGAAAUAUAUUGCAAUAUACUCUAAAAUAUGUGAUCAUAAAUUUCAAUUUAAUGUAAAAUAUAUGCAGUUUAAAUACAUAUUUUUAAGAUUAUAUCCAAAAUAUAAUGAAUCAUACAUUUUCCUUAAUAUAUUGUAACUAACAUAUUUCUAUAUAUAUUGUCGAGACAUGCAAUAUAGUGCGCCCAGCCUCAUAUUUAUCAAAGAUUUCUCAUGAUGUACCUUUCAACCUGGGAAAAGAUGUAUACAUGCUUUCCAGUGAAUCCAAUUGGAACUUCCGGCAGCUUACUAUGAGUUGUUCAAGUAAGUAGACAUGUCACCAUAUGUUGGCUGCAACAUAUUCCAUGCUUAAACAGACUGUAAGUUUGGCAUUUUUAACAUUUCAAGAAAAAUGGUAAAAAAAAGUUACAUUGCUACCAAUAUUUGUUUCAACAUUACCCCAUUAGCUUGUGGGAAAGAGUAAAUCUACUGUCAGGUUAACUGUCUUAACUAUAAAUGGGUCUGGAAUAUUAGAGCACCUGUUCACAAAUGGUCUAUUUGUAACUGAAGACAUCAAAAGCAUCCAUGUUACCAUUUGGACAAGAACAGUUGGCCCUGUGCAAAAGCCCUCAGUUUGAAGGUUCUGUCAUAAAAUCUAAUUCCUAAAUAUGUGGGUUCAUACAAAAUAUUGAAAAGACUGGGCAAAUUACUUAUAGGUUGACUUAACUAUUGCAUUUGUAUAUGAUUUAUUUAUUGCAUAUUUCAUAAGUGACAAAUGUUAUUUUUUUUUCUCCAUGAGUCCCUGUUUUCUUUCUAGUGACGGUUGAUUGUGCACCAAAAAAUGAUA